CGUAACAAGGUCUCCGUAGGUGAACCUGCGGANGGAUCAUUACAAGAACGCCCGGGCUUCGGCCUGGUUAUUCAUAACCCUUUGUUGUCCGACUCUGUUGCCUCCGGGGCGACCCUGCCUUCGGGCGGGGGCUCCGGGUGGACACUUCAAACUCUUGCGUAACUUUGCAGUCUGAGUAAACUUAAUUAAUAAAUUAAAACUUUUAACAACGGAUCUCUUGGUUCUGGCAUCGAUGAAGAACGCAGCGAAAUGCGAUAAGUAAUGUGAAUUGCAGAAUUCAGUGAAUCAUCGAAUCUUUGAACGCACAUUGCGCCCCCUGGUAUUCCGGGGGGGCAUGCCUGUUCGAGCGUCAUUUCACCACUCAAGCCUCGCUUGGUAUUGGGCAACGCGGUCCGCCGCGUGCCUCAAAUCGUCCGGCUGGGUCUUCUGUCCCCUAAGCGUUGUGGAAACUAUUCGCUAAAGGGUGUUCGGGAGGCUACGCCGUAAAACAACCCCAUUUCUAAGGUUGACCUCGGAUCAGGUAGGGAUACCCGCUGAACUUAAGCAUAUCA
rnacentral:rRNA from 1 species